ensembl:lncRNA
GGGAGCCCCUUGGAAAGAUUUUCAGUAUCCAGUGGCUGGUUUUCAUGGGUGAAGGAUCGAGAGUUUGGUGGGAUAAUACAGGAGCCUGAGCCGUCUUGAUCAGGUCUCAGCGCAAAUGUCAUUUCCUAGAGUCAUAUCCUCCCAACACCUAUUUUCUUUGUAGUACUUGACGUGAUUUAAGGAACCUGUGACUCAUUCCCCAGGAAGGAGCAAUCUAGAACCGUACUUCUAGCUACCCUCCCACCAGCUUUCCUGGUGCUGCUCCCAAGAGGAGAAGUGAUGGCCAAUCUGAUUGGAAAGACAGGGUGAGAAGGUCCUUCCUGGGCCCCCUAUGCCAGAUAUUGUGGGGCAUAACUGUGUUGCCUGGCAAGUUAACAGCAUUUUUGCAGCUAUGCUGCCAGUCUUGAAGGUGGCAGAAUGGAGAGAGGAAAAGAACUUCCAUCCUUAAUGAUGCUGCUGAUCUGCUGAUUCAGCUCUGUCCUUGCCCACCUACCUCUCAAAUUAUUGUUUUGUGAGAUUACUAAAUUCCUUUCUGUUUAAAACCACUUUUAAUGGAGGUAUUCUGUUACUUGUAACUGAAAGCAACUGGACUGAAACAUUACUACAUUAUGCUGCCUCCCAGAAAAUUUAAUUAUUAAAACCUGGGGUUUUGA